rnacentral:tRNA from 1 species
CCGAGCGUCGCCUAGUUAGGUCGAUGGCACCUGGUUUGGGACCAGGAAAGCGAAAGCUACACCGUACGUUCGAAUCGUACCGCUCGGACCA